rnacentral:rRNA from 1 species
AUUGAACGCUGGCGGCAUGCCUUACACAUGCAAGUCGAACGGUAACAGGUCUUCGGAUGCUGACGAGUGGCGAACGGGUGAGUAAUACAUCGGAACGUGCCUAGUAGUGGGGGAUAACUACUCGAAAGAGUGGCUAAUACCGCAUGAGAUCUACGGAUGAAAGCAGGGGAUCGCAAGACCUUGUGCUACUAGAGCGGCCGAUGGCAGAUUAGGUAGUUGGUGGGAUAAAAGCUUACCAAGCCGACGAUCUGUAGCUGGUCUGAGAGGACGAUCAGCCACAGUGGGACUGAGAAACGGCCCAGACUCCUACGGGAGGCAACAGUGGGGAAUUUUGGACAAUGGGCGAAAGCCUGAUCCAGCAAUGCCGCGUGCAGGAUGAAGGCCUUCGGGUUGUAAACUGCUUUUGUACGGAACGAAAAGCCCCGGGUUAAUACCCUGGGGUCAUGACGGUACCGUAAGAAUAAGCACCGGCUAACUACGUGCCAGCAGCCGCUGUAA